AAUUUUCUCUAUUCUUUUCAUCUUCCCAGUUAUCAAUUUUCUGCUGCUUUUGUGCCAGGCUUGGAGCAGGACAUCCUCCUGAAGACUGUGAAUCCUCUCAGAGGGCUCCUCUCAAACCAGAGGACAAAGCAGUCAUCAGACUUGAGCAACAGCCCCCUCUUACCCCCACUUAUAGCACUGCAGGUGCUAAGGGAGAGGACUCCACCUUGAUCUCCUGAUCUCUAGCUCAGCUCUCUUUGCCCUCUUGUGUCCAGUUAGUGUCCUUCACUGAAUAGGGUCCAAGAACUAGAAAAGGCUGUCUUCUGGAGGCUCCUUUCAGCUUUCUUCUCCACCCAGAUGUCUCAGAUAAGAAAUUAUAAAGCCUAACUCAGGCAGAAAAUGAAGGAAGAGGGAAGAAGAAAAAGGAAAGAAGAGAUGUGUACAUUAAACAUAAAGUUUAUUUUUCUUUCUACUUCACACAGUGCUGCAAAGAACAAGAACUGCUGUAUCAAAGGUAACUGCAUUCACAGCUUUGCAAUGGUCACACUGCCAUCCAAGGAGGAACCAUCAAGUGUUCUAUUUAAACUUACACCAGCCAGAAUGGCCAUCAUCAAAAAGUCUUCAAACAAUAAGUGCUGGAGAGGGUGUGGAGAAAAAGGAACCCGAUGACACUGUUGGUGGGAUUGUAAAUUGGCACAACCACUGUGGAAAGCAGUAUGGAGAUUCCUCAGAAAACUAAAAAUAGAACUACCAUUUGAUCCAGCGAUCCCACUCCUGGGCAUCUAUUCAGAGAAAACCAUGACUCGCAAAGACACAUGUACUCCAAUGUUCAUUGCAGCACUAUUUGCAAUAGCCAAGACAUGGAAACAACCUAAAUGUCCAUCGACAGAGGAGUGGGUCAGGAAGAAGUGGUACAUAUACACAGUGGAAUAUUACUCAGCCAUUAAAAGAAAUGAAAUACCAGCAGUUUUAGCAACAUGGAUGGACCUAGAAAUUAUCAUACUAAGUGAAGUCAGCCAUACAGUGAGACACCAACAUCGAAUGCUUUCACUGACAUGUGGAAUCUGAAAAAAGGACAGACUGAACUUCUUUGCAGAACAGAUACUGACUCAUAGACAUUGAAAAACUUAUGGUCUCCGGAGGAGACAGUUUGGGGUGUGGGGGGAUGUGCUUGCGUUAUGGGAUGGAAAUCCUGUGAAACUGGAUUGUUAUGAUCGUUAUACGACUAUAGAUGUGAUAAAUUCUUUUGAGUAAUAAAAUAAAAUAAAAUAAAUAAUGCUUAAAACA
rnacentral:lncRNA from 1 species